AUACGACGCCGUUCCAAGUGAAGUGGGUGGGAAUAAAACCUUAAAACGCGAUUUAGUUUCAGUUUGCGCUCCCAUCUCAAUCCGACUGGAAGGAAUGACGAAAUCAGUCACUCUGAUUCAAACAAUUGCGUUUGCAGGACUCUUCUCUGGCGCUGCGUUCUGGUACGGCUUCGUGAUCGGUAGAGAGUCCUCUCGGAAAGAGCUCGGAGAUUUGAUUGAAGAUCUUCGCCGUGGGAACUCCGCCUCCUCGCCGCCUUCACAUUGAGCUUGAUUAUGUGAUGGUUCGAUUUUGAUUUCCGUGCUUUGUCCACAUGGAAGUGCAUUUGCUAAAUAAGGUGAGCACCGAACUGAACGCAAAUAGGUGUCGAUCAUUUAUCGGAAAUUUUUUUAGUUGAACUUGCUUCUUUGCUACCAGGCAACGUGGCUUAAUUUGAGCCAGAAUGUGCUACACCUCUGAUGUGAUUUUGUUAUUUCUAAAGAAUUUCUGUGAUAUGGACUCGCGAUGAAAGGAUAACAGUUAUUUUGAAUGCUAUAUUUUGAUUUUGUAUACUUAAGGGAGUCUUUUCCGCUCCACAAUGAUAGCUUUCCUUUAUGCAUAUUGCUGCACUGAAUGCAAGUGAAUAGCGUUGUGCCAGCUAUUCAAUAUUUUAACUUUACCUCUUUAUACUGUAUUACUAUAUUAUUUUUUUUGAAGUUUGUUUGAAACUUUUAAGCGUGGAAGCAUCGGCUGAUUUACAGUUAC